UACAUGUGGGGCAAGCGUUGUUCGGAAUUACUGGGCAUAAAGGGUGCGUAGGUGGUUUGUUAAGUCAGGGGUGAAAUCCCGCGGCCCAACCGUGGAACUGCCUUUGAUACUGGCGAACUUGAGUGCGUGAGGGGUAGGGGAACGAGCAGUGUAGCGGUGAAAUGCGUAGAUAUUGCUCGGAAGGCCAGAGCCGAAGGGGCCCUACUGGUGCGCAACUGACACUGAGGCACGAAAGCGUGGGGAGCAAACAGG
rnacentral:rRNA from 1 species